rfam:Subdoligranulum sp. CAG:314 genomic scaffold, scf10
AGAGUCAGCCGGACGGUCGCGGGGAGCAAGCUCCACGAGGAAAGUCCGAGCACCGCAGGGCAGAGCGCCGGCUAAUUACCGGUGAAGGCGACUUCAAGGAAAGUGCAACAGAAAUAUACCGCACGUUUUUGCGUGCAAGGGUGGAAAUGUGAGGUAAGAGCUCACAAACGUCUUGGCGACUUGACGUUCCUGUAAACCCCGCUCGGUGCAAGAAAUGAGAACAAGCGUUUGCCCGACGCCUCGAUAUGAUUCGCUCGAGCGUGCCGGAAACGGUACGCCUAGACAGAUGACCGUCUAAUACAGAACUCGGCUUACAGACUGGCUCGCAAA